CAAAAACAAACAACUUCUUAGUCGAGAACGGUCUAUGUGGUAUCGAUAUGAGUCAGAAACAUUUAUUCUAGUGUCAAAAUGAACUACAAAGUGUAAAUAUGAUCAUGUUGGUCACAAAGUCAGUAUCGAUUUGCGAGAAUAUAGGGUAACCAUGGUUGACAGAGGAAGAACAAUGAUUCCAAGCACCAACCUCCUUUUGAAGCUUCCAGUCUGUUAUUCGAACUCAAUCAGCAUGACAGAGUGAUCUCCAGCCUUGUCCUUGUCAACACUCACACCUGUGUUAACAAGAGAAUCACUGACAUGAUGUCAGCUGGUCCUUUUGUGGCAGGGCUGAAAUGCAGUGGAAAUGUUUUUUGGGGAUUCAGUCAUUUGCAUGGCAAAUAG
rnacentral:lncRNA from 1 species